UGGAUAUGGGCGAAGCCUGAUGGAGCAACGCCGCGUGGGUGAAGAAGGUCUUCGGAUCGUAAAACCCUGUUGUUAGAGAAGAAAGUGCGUGAGAGUAACUGUUCACGUUUCGACGGUAUCUAACCAGAAAGCCACGGCUAACUACGUGCCAGCAGCCGCGGUAAUA
rnacentral:rRNA from 1 species